UAAAUUUUUUUCCUUUUUUUUUUCUUUUAAAACUUUCCAUUUUAAGUUGGUUAUUUCUGAUUAAUAUUUAAAAGCAAAUAAUAAUGAUAUGGUAGGAGAUACACACCAAACAGGAUGUGUAAAUUAUUAUAUAAUAAGUAUUGUGCAAUAGCAAGAAAUUUUCAAUUGCACAGUAUUGCACAAUUGCAAGAAAUCUUCAAUUGCACAGUAUUGCGCAAUAGCAAGAAAUCUUCAAUUGCACAGUAUUGCGCAAUAGCAAGAAAUAUCCAAUAGCACAAAAUAUUCAAUUGCACAGUAUUGUGCAAAAGAAGAUACUUCGUAUAAAUUGCUUAUUUCUUGAUCAAUUUCAAUGGGGUUUUAUUCUUGAAUUCUUGGGGUUCUUUAAUAUGCUGAAUCUAACUGUGUAUUAAGUUUUUGGAUUUUGGGCCCUGUUUUUAAAUUGGUCCACAUUGAGGUCCAAAGGGUCCAAAAUUUAACUUUGUUUGAUUUUAACAAAAAUUGAAUUUUUAGGGUACUUUGAUAUGCUGAAUCUAAACAUGUAUUUAGAUUUUUGAUUAUGGGCCCAGUUUUCAAGUUGGUCCAAAUCGGGGUCCAAAAUUAAACUUUGUUUGAUUUCAACAAAAAUUGAAUAUAUGGGGUUCUUUGAUAUGCUGAAUCUAACCAUGUAUUUAGAUUUUUGAUUUUUGUGCCCCGUUAUCAACUUUGUCCACAUUGAGGUCAAAAGGGUCCAAAAUUAAACUUUGUUUGAUUUCAUCAAAAAUUGAAUUCUUGGGGUUCUUUGAUAUGCUGAAUCUAACCAUGUAUUUAGAUUUUUUAUUUGUGGACCCGCUAUCAAAUUGGUUCAUAUUGAGGUCAAAAGGGUCCAAAAUUAAACUUUGUAUGAUUUCAUCAAAAAUUGAAUUAUUGGGGUUCUUUGAUAUGCCAAAUCUAACCGUGUAUUUAGAUUUUUAAUUUUGGGUCCCGUUUUUAAAUUGGUCUACAUUAAGGUCCAAAGGGUCCAAAAUUAAACUUAGUUUGAUUUUAACAAAAAUUGAAUUCUUGGGGUUCUUUGAUAUGCUGAAUCUAAACAUGUGUUUAGAUUUUUGAUUAUGGGCCCAGUUUUCAAGUUGGUCCAAGUUGGGGUCCAAAAUUAAACUUUGUUUGAUUUCAACAAAAAUUGAAUAUAUGGGGUUCUUUGAUAUGCUGAAUCUAAACAUGUAUUUAGAUUUUAGAUUUUUGGCCCAGUUUUCAAGUUGGUCCAAAUUGGGGUCCAAAAUUAAACUUUGUUUGAUUUCAACAAAAAUUGAAUAUAUGGGGUUCUUUGAUAUGCUGAAUCUUACCAUGUAUUUAGAUUUUUUAUUUGUGGGCCCGCUAUCAAAUUGGUUCAUAUUGAGGUCAAAAGGGUCCAAAAUUAAACUUUGUUUGAUUUCAUCAAAAAUUUAAUUAUUGGGGUUCUUUGAUAUGCCAAAUCUAACCGUGUAUUUAGAUUUUUAAUUUUGGGUCCCGUUUUUUAAAUUGGUCUACAUUAAGGUCCAAAGGGUCCAAAAUUAAACUUAGUUUGAUUUUAACAAAAAUUGAAUUCUUGGGGUACUUUGAUAUGCUGAAUCUAAACAUGUGUUUAGAUUUUUUAUUUGUGGACCCGCUAUCAAAUUGGUUCAUAUUGAGGUCAAAAGGGUCCAAAAUUAAACUUUGUAUGAUUUCAUCAAAAAUUGAGUUAUUGGGGUUCUUUGAUAUGCCAAAUCUAACCGUGUAUUUAGAUUUUUAAUUUUGGGUCCCGUUUUUAAAUUGGUCUACAUUAAGGUCCAAAGGGUCCAAAAUUAAACUUAGUUUGAUUUUAACAAAAAUUGAAUUCUUGGGGUUCUUUGAUAUGCUGAAUCUAAACAUGUGUUUAGAUUUUUGAUUAUGGGCCCAGUUUUCAAGUUGGUCCAAGUUGGGGUCCAAAAUUAAACUUUGUUUGAUUUCAACAAAAAUUGAAUAUAUGGGGUUCUUUGAUAUGCUGAAUCUAAACAUGUAUUUAGAUUUUAGAUUUUUGGCCCAGUUUUCAAGUUGGUCCAAAUUGGGGUCCAAAAUUAAACUUUGUUUGAUUUCAACAAAAAUUGAAUAUAUGGGGUUCUUUGAUAUGCUGAAUCUUACCAUGUAUUUAGAUUUUUUAUUUGUGGGCCCGCUAUCAAAUUGGUUCAUAUUGAGGUCAAAAGGAUCCAAAAUUAAACUUUGUUUGAUUUCAUCAAAAAUUUAAUUAUUGGGGUUCUUUGAUAUGCCAAAUCUAACCGUGUAUUUAGAUUUUUAAUUUUGGGUCCCGUUUUUUAAAUUGGUCUACAUUAAGGUCCAAAGGGUCCAAAAUUAAACUUAGUUUGAUUUUAACAAAAAUUGAAUUCUUGGGGUACUUUGAUAUGCUGAAUCUAACCAUGUAUUUAGAUUUUUUAUUUGUGGACCCGCUAUCAAAUUGGUUCAUAUUGAGGUCAAAAGGGUCCAAAAUUAAACUUUGUAUGAUUUCAUCAAAAAUUGAAUUAUUGGGGUUCUUUGAUAUGCCAAAUCUAACCGUGUAUUUAGAUUUUUAAUUUUGGGUCCCGUUUUUAAAUUGGUCUACAUUAAGGUCCAAAGGGUCCAAAAUUAAACUUAGUUUGAUUUUAACAAAAAUUGAAUUCUUGGGGUUCUUUGAUAUGCUGAAUCUAAACAUGUGUUUAGAUUUUUGAUUAUGGGCCCAGUUUUCAAGUUGGUCCAAGUUGGGGUCCAAAAUUAAACUUUGUUUGAUUUCAACAAAAAUUGAAUAUAUGGGGUUCUUUGAUAUGCUGAAUCUAAACAUGUAUUUAGAUUUUAGAUUUUUGGCCCAGUUUUCAAGUUGGUCCAAAUUGGGGUCCAAAAUUAAACUUUGUUUGAUUU